GAUGAACGCUAGCGGCAGGCUUAACACAUGCAAGUCGAGGGGUAACAGAGAAAAGCUUGCUUUUUUGCUGACGACCGGCGCACGGGUGCGUAACGCGUAUGCAAUCUACCUUUUGCUAAGGGAUAGCCCAGAGAAAUUUGGAUUAAUACCUUAUAGUAUGAUGACUUGGCAUCAAGAUAUCAUUAAAGAUUACGGCAAAAGAUGAGCAUGCGUUCUAUUAGCUAGUUGGUGUGGUAACGGCAUACCAAGGCAACGAUAGAUAGGGGUCCUGAGAGGGAGAUCCCCCACACUGGUACUGAGACACGGACCAGACUCCUACGGGAGGCAGCAGUGAGGAAUAUUGGACAAUGGAGGCAACUCUGAUCCAGCCAUGCCGCGUGCAGGAAGACUGCCCUAUGGGUUGUAAACUGCUUUUAUACAGGAAGAAAUACCUCUACGUGUAGAGAUUUGACGGUACUGUAAGAAUAAGGAUCGGCUAACUCCGUGCCAGCCGCCGCCGUAACAC
rnacentral:rRNA from 1 species